CGGUAAUACGUAGGUGGCAAGCGUUAUCCGGGAUUUAUUGGGCGUAAAGGGAGUGCAGGCGGUUAUUUAAGUCUGAUGUGAAAGCUUUCGGCUUAACCGGAGAAGGGCAUCGGAAACUGGAUAACUUGAGUGCAGAAGAGGGUAGUGGAACUCCAUGUGUAGCGGUGGAAUGCGUAGAUAUAUGGAAGAACACCAGUGGCGAAGGCGGCUACCUAGUCUGUAACUGACGCUGAGGCUCGAAAGCAUGGGUAGCAAACAGGAUUAGAUACCCUGGUAGUCCAUGCCGUAAACGAUGAAUACUAGGUGUUAGGGGGUUUCCGCCCCUUAGUGCCGCAGCUAACGCAAUAAGUAUUCCGCCUGGGGAGUACGACCGCAAGGUUGAAACUCAAAGGAAUUGACGGGGACCCGCACAAGCGGUGGAGCAUGUGGUUUAAUUCGAAGCUACGCGAAGAACCUUACCAGGGCUUGACAUCUUCUGCUAAUCCGAGAGAUCGGACGUUCCCUUCGGGGACGGAAAGACAGGUGGUGCAUGGUUGUCGUCAGCUCGUGUCGUGAGAUGUUGGGUUAAGUCCCGCAACGAGCGCAACCCUUAUGAUUAGUUGCCAGCAUUAAGUUGGGCACUCUAAUGAGACUGCCGGUGACAAACCGGAGGAAGGUGGGGACGACGUCAAAUCAUCAUGCCCCUUAUGUCCUGGGCUACACACGUGCUACAAUGGAUGGUACAACGAGCAGCGAAGUCGCGAGGCCAAGCAAAUCUCUUAAAGCCAUUCUCAGUUCGGACUGUAGGCUGCAACUCGCCUACACGAAGUCGGAAUCGCUAGUAAUCGCGGAUCAGCAUGCCGCGGUGAAUACGUUCCCGGGUCUUGUACACACCGCCCGUCACACCAUGAGAGUUUGUAACACCCAAAGUCGGUGGGGUAACC
rnacentral:rRNA from 2 species